rnacentral:rRNA from 1 species
ACGGGAGGCAGCAGUGGGGAAUAUUGCACAAUGGGCGCAAGCCUGAUGCAGCGAUGCCGCGUGAGGGAAGAAGGUUUUCGGAUUGUAAACCUCUGUCAACAGGGACGAAAAUGACGGUACCUGUGAAGGAAGCUCCGGCUAACUACGUGCCAGCAGCCGCGGUAAUACGUAGGGAGCAAGCGUUAUCCGGAAUUACUGGGUGUAAAGGGAGUGUAGGCGGGACUGUAAGUCAGAUGUGAAAUAUGCCGGCUCAACUGGCAGACUGCAUUUGAAACUGCGGUUCUUGAGUGAAGUAGAGGUAAGCGGAAUUCCUAGUGUAGCGGUGAAAUGCGUAGAUAUUAGGAGGAACAUCAGUGGCGAAGGCGGCUUACUGGGCUUUAACUGACGCUGAGGCUCGAAAGCGUGGGGAG